AUGUAAAUUCCUACAAAAUAGUGUUAAUUCACCGGAUCCCAUUAGAACUCCGCAGUUAAGCAUGCGUGGGCUAGAGUAGUACUGGGAUAGAUGACCGCCUAGGAAGUCCUAGUAUUUUACAUG
rnacentral:rRNA from 1 species